AGGCGCUGCGAGAGUUUGGGUGCCCCCCCUGGGAACAGCCCCCCAAGGCGGAGGAGCCGCUCAGCCCCCCGGUGAUCCUGGAUGACCCCGGCGAUCCCGAGCUGGCCCAGGCUGUGGCCGCCGCCCGCGGGGCCGCCCCGGGGUGGGGGCGGCUGCCGGGGGCGUCGCGGGCCCGGGUGCUGCGGGGGGCGGCGGCGGCGCUGCCGGGGGGUCCCGGGACCCCCGAGGACGGCGACGGCGGCGACACCGGCGGGAGCCUGCGGGGGGCGCUGCUGCGCUGGGCGGAGCGAGCGGAGCGCGCGGGCGGGGCCGUGCAGGAGCUGCCCGGGGGGCGGGCCCUGCUGACGAGGCGGCCGCUCGGGGUGCUGGGCGUGGCCUGGGGUUGGCCCCGCCCCCUGGCGCUGGAGCUCCUCCUCCCGGCGCUGGCGCUCGGGAACGCGGUCGUGGUGGUAGCGCCUCCUGGCGGCGCCGGUGCCGCACAGCGGCUGCGGAAGUCUCUGGUGGCCGCGGGGCUGCCGGGGGCGGCCCUGUCGGUGCUUCCCGGCGCUUCCCAGGGCUGCGGACGUCGCCUGGCGCGGCAGCGCCCGGACGGGCUGUGGCUGUGCGGGGGGGACGCGGUGAGUGCGGGGGCGGUGCGGGACAUUUGGGGGGGGGACAGCGGAGAGCACGCGGGGAAGGGGGGUGGGCACUGGGACGUUUUGGGGGUCCCGAGCCGUGGGACGGCUGCUGUGGGGGAUUUUGGAGUGGGGGGGGCACACCCCCCGGCUGU
rnacentral:lncRNA from 1 species